rnacentral:rRNA from 1 species
UACGUAGGGGGCAAGCGUUGUCCGGAUUUACUGGGCGUAAAGGGCGUGCAGGCGGUUUGUUAAGUGCAGGGUGAAAGCUCCCGGCUCAACUGGGAGAGGUCCUUGCAUACUGGCAAACUCGAGGGAGGCAGAGGAAAGUGGAAUUCCCGGUGUAGUGGUGAUAUGCGUAGAUAUCGGGGAGGAACACCUGUGGCGAAGGCGGCUUUCUGGGCCUUACCUGACGCUGA